rnacentral:rRNA from 1 species
CAGUAGCCACGGUAAUACGGAGGGUGCAAGCGUUAAUCUGAAUUACUGGGCGUAAAGCGCACGCAGGCGGUCUGACAAGUCAGAUGUGAAAUCCCCGGGCUUAACCUGAGAACUGCAUUUGAAACUGUCAGGCUGGAGUCUUGUAGAGGGGGGUGGAAUUCCAGGUGUAGCGGUGAAAUGCGUAGAGAUCUGGAGGAAUACCGGUGGCGAAGGCGGCCCCCUGGACAAAGACUGACGCUCAGGUGCGAAAGCGUGGGGAGCAAACAGGAUUAGAUACCCCGGUAGUCCCUGUCUCUUAUAC